CUCACUGAUAAGUGGAUAUUUGCCCAAAACCUCAAAAUAAACAAGAUACAACUCACAGACCAUAAGAACCUCAAGAAGGAAGACCAAAGUGUUGGUGCUUCGGUUUUUCUGAGAAAGGGAAGAAAACACUUACAGGAGCAAUUAUGAAGACAAAAUGUGGGGCAGAGACUGAAAGAAAGGCCAUCCAGAGUCUGUCCUACCUGGGUAUUCAUCCUAUAGACAGACACCAAACCCUAACGCUAUUAUAGAUAACAAGAAGUGCUUGCCGAAAAGAGCCUAUUAAGGCUGCUUCCUGAGGGGACCUGCCAGAGCCUUACAGAUACAGCCUGGCAGAUGCUAGCAACCAACCAUUAGACUGCACACCGGGUCCCCAAUGGAGGAGCUCAAGGGAGGACUGGAGAAGCUGAAAGGGUUUGCAGCCCCAUGGAGAAAUGGCAGGUGUCACUGACAAGGUGCUGGCUGCUUCCAUAUCAACAUCAGUAAACAGUAAGUGGGGUCGUGCAACCUCAGAGGCAGCUUCCACAUGAAGGACAAAGUGAACUCUGCCUGAGAGCCUAGAGACUGGUGAUGCAAACAAUGACUGCCAAUCAGGAACUGCUACUUGGAGGACACACCUGCUUAGGACCAAUGAGAUUUGGGUGGAGGGUAUAAAGGAUACUCCCUGAGAAUUAAUAAACAAGCAUGCUGCCCAGUUCUCACCAGCUCCCAGAGUCUGAGCCAUUGAUUGCACACCACCUCACCCCCAACCCACAAGGGCAGGUAUGGUUGGGCAGCCGGCGGCCGGCAGGUGGUCUGCAGUGCAAAGCAGCAAUCUACCUACAAAUAAAGCACUACAGAAGGUGCUAUGAAAAAACUCGAACCUAAGGAGGUUAACUGCACCAAUGAAAAACACAGAAAAUGAAUGAUUUCUCAUCAGCAAAGUUAAAAGGAAAACACGCACAAACUCAACACAAGUCACUAAUACAAACAAUAUCAACAUCAACAACGCCCCGUUCUCCAGGCAGUGCAGGAGGCCAGCUGUGCACCCAGAGGCCGGCUGUGCACCCGGAGGCUGGCUGGGAGGAGGCAGCUUGCACUGGUGAGUCCAGCCCUGCAGAGCAGAGGAUCCAGUCCAGAGGCCUCUGGUGGGAGCUUUCCAGUCUCCACUUCUGGAUCGGGAACAGCCGGGGCCAAAGCGCCCCACCUCCAGGCAGUGCAGAAGGCCAUCUAUGCACCCAAAAGCCGGCUGCAAGGAACCAGCUUGCACAGGUGAGUCCUGCAUUGACAACGAGACCAACUAACACCAGUGAGAACUAGAUGGCAAAAGGCAAAUAUAGGAACAUUACUAACAAAAAUCAAGGCAAUAUGGCAGCAUCUGAACCCAAUUCUCCAUUAACAGCAAGUCCUGGAUACUGCAACACACCAGAAAAACAAGAUUUGAAUUUAAAAUCACUGGUCAUAAUAAUGUUGCAGGAACACAUGAAGGACAUAAAUAAAUAUCUUAAAGAAAUUAAGGAGAAAAUGGAUCAAAAGCUAGAAGUCCUUACAAGGGAAACACAAAAAUCAUCAAAAGAAAUUCAGGAGAAUAUGGAUCAAAAGAUAGAAGCCAAUAAGGAGGAAACACAAAAAUCACUUAAAGAAAUACAGGCGAACGUUGGUCAACAGGCUGAGGUCAUGAAAGAGGAAGCACGAAAAUCUCUUAAAGAACUACAGGAAAAUACAAACAAGCAAGUGAAGGAGCUGAGCAAAAUCAUCCAGGAUCUAAAAACAGAAGUAGAAACAACUAAGAAAUCUCAAAGGGAGACAACUUUGGAGAUACAAAACCUUGGGAAGAAAUCAGGGGACAUAGAUGCAAAUAUCAACAACAGAAUACAAGAGAUAGAAGAAAGAAUCUCAGAUGCCCAAGAUACCAUAGAAACCAUGGACUCAACGGUCAAAAAAAAUGCAAAAUGCAAAAAGCUUAUAACCCAAAACAUCCAGGAAAUCCAGGACACAAUGAGAAAGCCAAACCUAAGGAUUAUAGGCUUUGAUGAGAGUGAAGAUUUACAACUUAAAGGGCCAGCAAAUAUCUUCAACAAAAUUAUGGAAGAAAACUUCCCUAAUCUAAAGAGGGAGAUGCCCAUGAAUAUACAAGAAGCCUACAGAACUCCAAACAGACUGGACUAGAACAGAAAUACCUGCUGUCACAUAAUAAUCAAAACCCCAAAUGCACUAAACAAAGAAAAAAUAUUAAAGGCAGUAAGAGAAAAAGGCCAAGUAACAUAUAAAGGAAGACCUAUCAGAAUCACACCUGACUUCUCACCAGAGACUAUGAAAGCUAGAACAUCCUGGGCAGAUCUCAUGCAGACUCUAAGAGAACACAAAUGCCAGCCAAAACUACUAUACCCAGCAAAACUCUCAAUCACCAUAGAUGGAGAAACCAAGAUAUUCCAUGGCAAAACCAAGUUUACCCAAUAUCUUACCACAAACCCGGCCCUACGAAGGAUAAUAGGAGGAAAACACCAAUACAAGGAGGGAAACUUCACCCUGGAAAAAGCAAGAUAGUAACCUUCUUUCAUCAAACCCAAAAGAAGAUAACCAAUCAAAUAUUUAAAAUAACAUAAAAAUGACAGGAAGCAAUAAUCACUAUUCCUUAAUAUCUCUUAACAUCCAUGGACUCAAUUCCCCAAUACAAAGACAUAGACUAACAGAGUGGAUACGUAAACAGGAUCAUAUAUUUUGCUGCAUACAGGACACACCUCAGUGUCAAUGAAAAACACUACCUUAAAAUAAAAGGCUGGAAGACAAUUUUACAAGCAAAUGGUCUCAGGAAAAAAGCCAGAGUAGCCAUUCUAAUAUCAGAUAAAAUCGACUUUCAACCUAAAGUCAUCAAAAGAGACAUUGAGGGACACUUCUUGCUGGUCAAGGGAAAAAUCCACCAUGAAGAACUUUCAAUUCUGAACAUCUAUGCACCAAAUGCAAGGGCACCCUUAUUCGUAAAAGAAACUUUACUAAAGCUCAAAGCACACAUUUCACCUAACACAAUAAUUGUGGGGGACUUCAACACUCCUCUCCUCAAUGGACCGAUCAGGAAAACAGAAACUAAACAGGGACUCAGUGAAACUAAUUGAAGCUUUGGACCAAUUAGAUUUAACAGAUAUAUAUAGAACAUUUCACCCUAAAGGAAAAGAAUAUACCUUUUUCUCAGCACCUCAUGGUACCUUCUCCAAAAUCGACCAUAUAAUUGGUCACAAGACAGACCUCAACAAAUAUAAGAAGAUCCAAAUAAUCCCAUGCCUCCUAUCAGAUCACUAUGGAGUAAAAGUGGUCUUCAAUAGCAACAAAAACAACAGAAAGCCCACAUACAAAUGGAAACUGAACAAUACUCUACUCAAUGAUACCUUGGUCAAGGAAGAAAUAAAGAAAGAAAUGAAAGACUUUUUAGAAUUUAAUGAAAAUAAAGACAACAUACCCAAAUCUAUGGGACACAAUGAAAGCAGUGCUAAGAGGAAAACUCAUAGCCCUGAGUGCUCCAAAAAGAAAAUGGAAAGAGCAUACACUAGCAGCUUAACGACACACCUGAAAGUCCUGGAACAAAAAGAAGCUAAUUCACCCAGGAAGAGUAGAAGGCAGGAAAUCAUCAAACUCAGGGCUGAAAUCAAUUAAGUAAAAACAAAGAGAACCAUAAAAACAAUCAACAAAACCAGGAGCUGGUUCUUGAGAAAAUCAACAAGGUAGAUAAACCCUUAGCCAGACUAACCAAAGGGCACAGAGACAGUAUCCAGAUAAACAAAAUUAGAAAUGAAAAGGGAGAUAUAACAACAGAAAUUGAGGAAAUUAAAAAAAAAAUCAUCAGCUCCUACUACAAAGGCCUAUACUCAACACAACUGGAGAAUCUGGAGGAAAUGGACAGUUUGCUAGACAGAUAUUAAGCACCAAAAUUAAAUCAGGAUCAAAUAGAUCAUCUAAAGAGUCCCCUAACCCCUAAAGAAAUAAAUGGGGUCAUAGAAAGUCUCCUAACAAAAAAAGCACGGGACCAGAUGGCUUCAGUGCAGAAUUCUAUCAGACCUUCAAAAAAGACCUAACACCAAUACUCUUCAGACUGUUCCACAAAAUAGAAACAGAAAGGACACUACCCAACUCGUUCUACGAAGCCACAAUUACGAUGAUACCAAAACCACACAAAGAUCCAACUAAGAAAGAGAACUUCAGGCCAAUUUCCCUUAUGAAUAUCGAUGCAAAAAUACUAAAUAAAAUUCUUGCCCACAGAAUCCAAGAACACAUAAAAACGAUCAUCCACCACGAUCAAGUGGGCUUCAUCCCAGGGAUGCAGGGAUGGUUCAAUACAAGGAAAUCCAUCAAUGCUAUCAACUACAUAAACAAACUCAAAGAAAAAAACCAUAUGAUCAUUUCAUUAGAUACUGAAAAAGCAUUUGACAAAAUUCAGCAUCCUUUCAUGCUAAAAGUCUUGGAAAGAACGGGAGUUCAAGGCCCAUACCUAAACAUAGUAAAAGCAAUAUACAGCAAACCAGUAGCCAACAUCAAACUAAAUGGAGAGAAACUUGAAGCAAUCCCACUAAAAUCAGGGACGAGACAAGGCUGCCCCCUCUCUCCAUAUCUUUUCAAUAUAGUACUUGAAGCUCUAGCUAGAGCAAUUAGACAGCAUAAGGAGGUCAAGGGGAUACAAAUUGGAAAGGAAGAAGUCAAACUAUCACUAUUUGCAGAUGAUAUGAUAAUAUACUUAAGUGACCCAAAAUCUCCACCAGAGACCUCCUACAGCUGAUAAACAACUUCAGCAAAGUGGCUGGUUAUAAAAUCAACUCAAGCAAAUCAGUUGCCUUCCUAUACUCAAAGAAUAAGCAGGCUGAGAAAGAAGUCAGGGAAAUGACACCCUUCACAAUAGCCACAAACAAUAUAAAGUAACUUGGUGUGACUUUAACCAAGUAAGUGAAGGAUCUAUACAACAAGAACUUCAGGUCUCUGAACAAAGAAAUCGAAGAAAACCUUGGAUUCUCAGAAAAUGGAAAAAUCUUCCAUGCUCGUGGAUUGACAGGAUUAAUAUAGUUAAAAUGGCCAUCUUGCCAAAAGUAAUAUACAGAUUCAAUGCAAUCACCAUCAAAAUCCCAACUCAGUUCUUCACAAAGUUAGAAAAAGCAAUUCUCAAAUUCAUCUGGAAAAACAAAAAACCCAGGAUAGCUAAAACUAUUCUCAACAACAAAAGAACUUCUGGGGGAAUCAGUAUCCCAGACCUCAAGCAAUACUACAGAGCAAUAGUGUUAAAAAUUGCAUGGUAUUGGAACAGUGACAGGCAAGUGGACCAAUGAAAUAAAAUUGAAGACCCAGAAAUGAAUCCAUACACCUAUGGUCACUUGAUCUUCGACAAAGGAGCUGAAAACAUCCAGUGGAAAAAAGAUAGCCUUUUCAACAAAUGGUGCUGGUUCAACUGGAGGUCAGCAUGCAGAAGAAUGCGAAUUGCCAUUCUUAUCUCCUUGUACUAAACUCAACUCCAAGUGGAUCAAGGACCUUCACAUAAAAUCAGACACACUGAAACUAACAGAAAAGAAACUGGGGAAGACCCUUGAGGACAUGGGCACAGGGUAAAAGUUCCUGAACAGAACACCAAUAGCUUAUGCUCUAAGAUCAAGAAUUGACAAAUGGGAUCUCAUAAAAUUACAAAGUUUCUGUAAGACAAAGGACACUGUCAAUAGGACAAAACUGCAACCAACAAAUUGGGAAAAGAUCUUCACCAACCCUACAUCCGAUAGAGGGCUAAUAUCCAAUAUAUACAGAGAACUCAAGAAGUUAGACCCCAGGGAACCAAAUAACCCUAUUUAAAAAAUGGGGUGCAGAUCUAAACAAAGAAUUUUCACCUGAAAAGAUUCGGAUGGCCGAGAAGCACCAUCAUUAGUCAUUAGGGAAAUGCAAAUCAAAACAACCCUGAGAUUUCACCUCAUACCAGUCAGAAUGGCUAAGGUUAAAAACUCAGGAGACAGCAGGUGUUGGCAAGGAUAUGGAGAAAGAGGAAAAGAAAGUCAUUAGGUCUUCCUUAAAACAACAACAACAACAACAGGGCCAUAAGGUUUUAGUACAGAAUUCUACCACAAUUUGAAAGAGUUAAUGCCAAUAUUCCUCAAUACUCCUCAAACUACUCCACCAAAUAGAAACAGAAACAGAAGGAAGAUUACCAAACUCAUCCUAUGAGUUCACAGUUACUCUGAUAGUUAUACCACACAAAUACUCAGAAUAAAAAAAAAAAAAAAAAAAAGAAUUUCAGACCAAUUUCCCUAAGAACAUCAGUGCCAAAAUACUCAGUAAAAUACUCACAAACUAAUUCCACCGACACGUCCAAAACACUAUCCACCAUGAUAAUGUAGGCUUAAUAUCAAGGAUGCAGAUAUGGUCCAAUAUACAAAAAUCCAUCAGUGUAAUCCACCU